rnacentral:rRNA from 1 species
GACGAACGCUGGCGGCGUGCCUAACACAUGCAAGUCGAGCGGAGUCGAUCGACGGAAGCCUUCGGGCGGAAGAUGGUUGACUUAGCGGCGGAUGGGUGAGUAACGCGUGGGCAACCUGCCUCGAAGACCGGGAUAACAGCCCGAAAGGGCUGCUAAUACCGGAUGUGGUCAAAGAUCCGCAUGGAUUUUUGAUUAAAGGGGAAACCCGUUUCGAGAUGGGCCCGCGUCCUAUCAGCUAGUUGGUGAGGUAAAAGCUCACCAAGGCGACGACGGGUAGCCGGCCUGAGAGGGUGACCGGCCACACUGGAACUGAGACACGGUCCAGACUCCUACGGGGGGCAGCAGUGGGGAAUCUUCCACAAUGGGCGAAAGCCUGAUGGAGCGACGCCGCGUGAGCGAAGAAGGCCUUCGGGUUGUAAAGCUCUGUCUGGAGGGACGAAGGAAGUGACGGUACCUCCGGAGGAAGCCACGGCUAACUACGUGCCAGCAGCCGCGGUAAAGUACUCUAU